rnacentral:tRNA from 1 species
GAGGGUAUAGCUCAGUGGUAGAGUGUGUGCUUACCACACACAAGGGCCUGGGUUCAAUCCCCAGCACCUCCA